AGCAGCCGCGGUAAUUCCAGCUCCAAUAGCGUAUAUUAAAGUUGUUGCAGUUAAAAAGCUCGUAGUUGAAUUUCGGGAUCAAUAUACCGGUCGUGCCUCAGGUAUGAACUGGUCUUAUUGGUUUCUCCCUUCUGACGAACCAUGAUGUCAUUAAUUUGAUGUCGUGGAGAAUCAGGACUGUUACUUUGAAAAAUUAGAGUGUUUAAAGCAGGCUAACGCUUGAAUACAUUAGCAUGGAAUAAUGAAAUAGGACGUUCGACCCUAUUUUGUUGGUUUCUAGGAUCGACGUAAUGAUUAAUAGGGAUAGUUGGGGGCAUUAGUAUUCAAUUGUCAGAGGUGAAAUUCUUGGAUUUAUUGAAGACUAACUACUGCGAAAGCAUUUGCCAAGGAUGUUUUCAUUAAUCAAGAACGAAAGUUAGGGGAUCGAAGACGAUCAGAUACCGUCGUAGU
rnacentral:rRNA from 1 species